UACUCGAGUGGCGAACGGGUGAGUAACACGUGGGUGAUCUGCCCUGCACUUCGGGAUAAGCUUGGGAAACUGGGUCUAAUACCGGAUAGGAUCCAUCUUUAGUGUGGUGGUUGGAAAGUUUUUUCGGUGUAGGAUUAGCUCGCGGCCUAUCAGCUUGUUGGUGGGGUAAUGGCCUACCAAGGCGGCGACGGGUAGCCGGCCUGAGAGGGUGUACGGCCACAUUGGGACUGAGAUACGGCCCAG
rnacentral:rRNA from 1 species